CUACCCGUGUUGUAAUUCGUGGAGAGAACAUUCACACUACUCUUGCUUUAACAGGCGAACCACUAAUACGUUCAUUUAGUGGAUCCGGUGCUGGAAUGGAUAUUGUUGUUUCCAGUGUGAAGGCCUACGUUGGUGCAUUAAAUAAGAUGCUAGCGUUUAAGCGGCAGUUGCCAAGAGUCAGCGUUUCUACAGAUAUGACCCCUGUAUCUGCAUGAAGAAGCUUGAGAACAAGUUUGAUGCAUAUCAAUAACACCUUAUUGAUCAUGUGAAAAAUAGGGAGUAGAGGUGCUUUAAUGUAAAAGGGCAAGAAAAAAAUAUUGUCUAUAAUUGUGGAACUUAAUCUGAAUUUGGCUAUUGUUUUUGAAGAAGUUAUGUUGACUUGAGAAUGCAUGGAAUUUUAGAUCAAAAGUGAGGGAAAGUUUUAUAUCAAUACUCUAUUGUUGUGCCCAUAAUUCUGACCAUUAUUCAGCUGGAUAGGAGAGACUCAAAGCCUCCAGCAUUUGAUGGGAAGCUGAACUUCUGUUUGUAUGGCCUACUGCUGAAAGAUUUGAAUGAGUCUAUGCGUAUGGUAGAAUUGUACCUUUCUUUUUGUUAUAUUAGGGACAGGCAAUAAUGGUGGAUUAUUUGUUUAUUUGAGUG
rnacentral:misc_RNA from 1 species